GUUACACACAUGCAGGACAGCAGAAUUGUUAUCGGACUGACCCGUUAAAAAGAUAAUCUGGGAAACCCUCCUAAUGGACCUUUCUAUAGGAUAUGCAACAUUAAGCCAUCUGCAUCCCGGGGAUAAAGGAUAUGGAUCCGCCUUCAUUAGAAAGGAAUUCCGAAGAGCAACGGGUGGACACAGACUUUUACGAGAUAUCUAUAUGUAAACUGUAUAUAUUUUUUAUGCUAAAAUGUACACCCGAAAUCGAAAAUCAUACAACCCUGGAGGACAUGAUCGAAACGGAAGGGGGGUACCCCCGGAACAUGAAGAGUAAAACAUUGAAUUCGGACGAUUUCCCCGCUUCAAAGGACAUUUCGGAGGUCUCUGAUUUGCGGUUGUUUGUAAUGGCCAGAAAACAGGUUAAGGAAAACUCCGAGACUGAAACAACAUUCAGUCAUGCUAUUCUAAAACAGGAAGACAACGAUUUUUACAGAUAUUCAGAAACAGAAGGACAAUAAUUAUCAUUAUAAUUUGUUUUUUAAAUAUAUUUUUUAGGCCAUAUGUUAAAUGGACGUAUUCUUAUAAGUUAAAAUGUAUCUAUUUCGUAUAAAUACAGGUUAACAUUAUCUAACGUUUGUAUGAUACCCAGAGGCUACAGGGCAUAAUGGAUUGGGAACCGACAGAGUUAGACGGGGAUUCUCAGAAGCAAACUGCGUCAGGUCCUUUACGUGGCCCAUUCACUAAUACACUAUUUUCGGCGUAAAUCCCCCCCACCCGACUACGGAAGAGCAGAUGAAACAGAGACAAUUCUGCGGGCUUGUACUGAAGGCCUUAACCUAACUCCAAACAGAAGCCAGCACCCCAGGACAGAUAAAACGAUAGACGGUGAAUCUUUCCUUCCUCAUGGAACUUUUUUGAAGGGGUGUUGAAUAUUAGAGGUUAUGUUUGUAUAUAUAUAUAUAUAUAUAUAUAUAUAUAUAUAUAUAUAUAUAUAUAUAUAUAUAUAUAUAUAUAUAUAUAUAUUAUCUAAGAAUGAUUGGUAUUAAUUCUAGGCAUUUACAGGUAUGUUUUUAAAAAUGAAGGCUAUUUAUACAAUGAAACAUUGUUUUUAUUCAUACUGUUUGUAAACAAUAGCUGCUGCCCCCUUAGGGUCUACUUGAACCGCUUAUUAAAUCAGACCUCUCAGACCAGAAAGUAUGAUUAGAAACCAUGGCAAAAUAUAUUCAAUCUGUGAUUAGAAACGAUAAUUAGAAGCUAUGACAAAACUAUGAUCAAACGAUGAUAAUAAACUAUGAACAACUAUGAAGACAGGGCUGUAUGUGUGUGAAUGAUGAGCUAUUAUUUAAGUGUGUAAUAUUACUCUCUCUCUCUCUGUCAGGCUAUGAAAAAGACAAAAGAUAGGACAUUGACUCCUGAGUGUUGAUAGGUCUUAGAUUUUUAUAGACAGGGUAUCUGUAAAACACAAUGUGACAACUAUUGAAGAUGCAAAAAGGGGUUUUCAGAAAUAUAUUUGGUUGACAGAUUUGUAUUAUUAUAAAAAGUAAUAUAAAAAUGAUUAGAAUCUUUAGUAUUAGUAUGUUACAUGCGAGACAUACCCAGAAAUGUCAGCGUAGACAACUUACAAGAAUGUGUUUACCAGGCCGUGAUGAAAACAUUUUAAAGGAGCUUUAAUUCAAACAUGCAAAGAUAUAUAUUUGAGACAAUUACCAACGUUAAAAACAUUUGUUACAAUAUCACAAAUAAUGUUUCUCGGACUAACACACUGUAGAGUUUCCUAUUUACUAAAGAACAAUCACUAAGACAAAACACAAAAAGUUGUAAUACAAUCAGUAUACAUGGCAUUAUAUAUGGAAAACAGGUACAUUUUGAAAGAUUAUGCUGUUGAUGUGAUUUUUAAAAAUUCAUUUCUCAAUUUAGGAUAAUACAGUUUAUUUUAUACUUUACUUAAAUUGGAUUAUUUAUCGUGCCUCAUACCAGGCUAAUACACUACCAAGCCCUGCAAACAGCUAGGGACUUAACCCAGAACAGUUGUGGGUCUUUUUUUUCUGGAACAAUAAAUGAUCACGAAUACCAAUAGGCGUGAUUUGAUCCUCAAACCUAUCAAGACAUCCUAUAAUGCACAGACAUAUGCAAAAGCAUAAAACUCUGACAAGAAAACAAUGAAAAUCUUAACAUGACUACAUGCCCUGCCAUUAUUUUAGUUCC